rnacentral:rRNA from 1 species
GACGAACGCUGGCGGCGUGCUUAACACAUGCCAGUCGAACGAAGUGGCGAACGGGUGAGUAACGCGUAAUCAACCUGCCAUUCAGAGGGGGACAAAAGUUGGAAACGACUGCUAAUCCCGCAUACUGAAGGGGGGGAGUGUGUCGGAUGAGCUCGUUGGAGGGGUAACGGCCCACCAAGGCGAUGAUCAGUAGCCGGUCUGAGAGGAUGAUCAGUCACACUGGAACUGAGACACGGUCCAGACUCCUACGGGAGGCAGCAGUGGGGAAUAUUGGACAAUGGGCGAAAGCCUGAUCCAGCCAUGCCGCGUGUGUGAAGAAGGUCUUCGGAUUGUAAAGCACUUUAAGUUGGGAGGCGUUACCAACAGAAUAAGCACCGGCUAACUUCGUGCCAGCAGCCGCGGUAAUAC